rnacentral:rRNA from 1 species
UACGUAGGGUGCAAGCGUUGUCCGGAAUUAUUGGGCGUAAAGAGCUCGUAGGCGGUCUGUCGCGUCGGCUGUGAAAUCCCGAGGCCCAACCUCGGGUCUGCAGUCGAUACGGGCAAACUAGAGUAUUGCAGGGGAGACUGGAAUUCCUGGUGUAGCGGUGAAAUGCGCAGAUAUCAGGAGGAACACCGGUGGCGAAGGCGGGUCUCUGGGCAAUAACUGACGCUGAGGAGCGAAAGCGUGGGGAGCGAACAGG